GCAGACCACGUGACCUGUUCAGGGUUUAAAAAGAUGACAGUUGAAGGAUGACAGUUGGAAGUAGACACAGUCAUGGAAGGGAGUUGUACUUACAGAGUUGUGUCCUGUUGAAGAGACUGAUAAAGACAGAAAGUUGGCAGCCAUGAAUCACAGUUAGUUAUCCAUUUGAAGAAGUCAGACACAGCAGCGUUUCUCUGGACCAAGAAAAAACAUGGCAAGAUCAAACAAAAAGGACACCUCGGGUCUCUGCUUCGAGUCUACAUUGGUGCUGGAAGAGAGGAUGAAAGUGCAAGACUUCGCAGCAGAAAGAAGCAGAAAAGGCAUGCAUGCUGUCAGCAAUGUUAUUGACAUGGGAUUCAGGGAGGAAAUGGUCCCGAAGACUCUGGAUAAGGAUAAUAUAGAUACAUACGCCAAAUGUCAGUGUUUCUGGCAGUUCCUUUAUGAAGAGGCUAAGGGGCCCCGAGAGGUUUGCCAGCGUCUAUGGGAGCUUGGCUUUCAGUGGCUGAAGCCAGGGCAGAACACGAAGGAGCAGAUCCUGGAGCUGGUGAUCCUGGAGAAACUCCUGUCUGUCCUCCCCUUGGAGUUGAAGACCUGGGUCAGGGCAUAUGGCCCUGCAAACUGUGCCCAAGCGGUGACCCUGGCAGAAGCGUUUUUAGUAAAAGAGCAAAAGGACAGAAGGCAGGAAGAGGUGGGCCUGGUGACUUUUGAGGAUGUGGUUGUAAAGUUCUCGAAGGAGGAAUGGGAAUUGCUGGAUCUGAGCCAUAGGUCUUUGUAUUGGGAAGUCAUGUUGGCAAAUCAUAAUACUGUGUCCUCCCUGCGUAAGAAUCGUUUUGACUGUAAUGACCAGGUUAAGGACAACGAAGAUGUGAGCAGUCAGCCAGGAAGAUCUGAGCAGGUGGACCAUUGCAGGGGAACAUCACUGGAAGAGACUGAAAUGAAUGAUUUGCAAUGUCUGAACAUCAGUGUUCAUGACCACUCUCAAGAGGGGGAAGGCCCAUAUGGAUGUUCCAAAAGUACCCAAGAGAUUUUCCGGCAUCUCUGGGAACUUCGCCUUCAGUGGCUGAAGCCAGAGCAGAACACGAAGGAGCAGAUCCUGGAGCUGGUGAUCCUGGAGAAAUUCCUGUCUGUCCUCCCCUUGGAGAUGAAGACCUGGGUUAGGGCAUAUGGCCCUGCAAACUGUGCCCAAGCGGUGACCCUGGCAGAAGCAUUUUUAGUAAAAGAGCAGAAGGACAGAAGGCAGAAAGACGCGGGCCCGGUGACCUUCGAGGAAGUAGCUGUGAAGUUCUCGGAGGAGGAAUGGACUUUGCUGAAUCUGAGCCAGAGGGCUCUGUAUUGGGAAGUCAUGGUGGCAAAUUAUCAUACUGUGUCCUCUCUGGCCACUCUGUUGAUCUCCAGACCUGACCUCAUUUCUCGGUUGAAAGAAGAGGAAGAGCCAAGGGAAGAGUGUGCGAAGGAAGGGGCAAAAUUGGCAGGGAAUUACCAAAUUGAGGAGAACGAAGAUGAGAGCAGUCAGCCAGAAAGAUCUGAAGGGAAUGAUUAUCAGGGUCUUAACGUUAGUGUUUGUGACCACUCUCAAGAGGGGAAAGGCCCAAAUGGAUGUUCCAAGACUGGAGAAAGCUUCAGUGAUCAAUCCCUCCUCCUUGAGCACAGAAAAUCACAUCCAAGAGAGAAGCGAUUCAGCUGCUCUUUAUGUGAAAAAAGGUUCAGUAAGAAGUUAUACCUAACUGCACAUGAAAGAACUCACACAGGGGAGAAGCCCUUCAAAUGCCUCGACUGCGGCAAAAGUUUCACAAGUCGCGUGUACCUUAUCAUCCAUCGGAGACUCCACACCGGAGAGCGACCUUUUCCAUGCCCUGAAUGUGGCAAAGGGUUCAUUAAUAAAGAGACCCUGAUUAAGCACAAGGUUGUCCAUACGGGACAAAGAAAAUAUUUAUGCACUGUGUGCGAGAAAAGGUUUGCCAGUAAAGGCAAUCUGAUGACACACAUGAAGAUCCACACAGGGGAGAAACUGUACAGCUGCCCCAUGUGUGGGAAAAGCUUCAAAUCGCGAUGUCACCUUAUAUCUCACCAGAGAACCCACACAGGAGAGAAACCCUAUGAAUGCUCUGAAUGUGGAAGAUGUUUCAGUCAACAGGCAGGGCUCUAUAUGCACCAAAAGGUCCACUCAGGCGAAAAGCCCUUUUUGUGUACUGAGUGCAGAAAGAGCUUCCAUAGUAAAAGCAAUUUAGCCCGGCAUCAACGAAUCCACACAGGGGAGAAGCCGUACAUGUGCCAAGAGUGCGGGAAGAGCUUCAACCAAAAGGCUGCUAUGGUGGCGCACCAGACAACUCACAGCAAAGACAAGCUCUAUUCGUGUCCAGACUGUGAGAAGACCUUCAAGCUGAAAGUGUCCCUCCAUGUACAUCAGAGAACUCACACGGGCGAGAAGCCCUACAAGUGCUCCCAGUGCGAGAAGCGAUUCAUUGGACGUUCCCAGUUGAUACAUCAUGAAAACACACAUGCAGGUGUUUCGUCUUCAGACACAACCCAAAUAAUUCAGCCCAUUUCUCAACGGGCAAUGGAAACGACAAGCUCUCCGGAGAUACGUGUGGAAAUAUUUAACGCUACUGUGGUGAAUGUGGAUGGUGUGUUGUUUCUUGUGCAAACUUCUGCAUAAAUCAGGAUCAUCUUCAUUGGGAACCAAGCUUUGGCCUGUUCCUGUGUUUAUUUGAGAUGCUGAUACAGAUUGCACUGCAACUGGAAGCUGUACUUUUUUUUGCACAGAAACUCCAGCCAUUCAUGUUCCAUUUACGCCUUAUAGCCUGAAGGUUCCACGAUCAAGAUGGUCUGUCCGACCGAAAAUUGAGGUUAUCAGGAUAUUCCUCUUCACUUAUUUUCUGUAUUAUAUUUUUUGUUCUACCAUUCUACAGCAAAACAUAUUGUGAGCUGUUUAUGGUUAAAUCCUUCCUUUUAAAAAAAGGAAUAACAUAAUGUAAAACAUAUAAUGGGGGAAGGGAAAGAGAGAAUAUAUAUUGUAUUUCUAUAUUUUUCAAAAUGUGUCUGUUAUUUCCCAACCAGAUGCUCUCCAUAACUUGGAAAGGAGCAUGUGUUUGGGUUUUAAUUACAGCCUUCAGCCAUUGCUAGUUGGAGAAUUUGAAGGUUUCAGGCCAGAAAUGCAGACCCUGAACGUGGGAAGAUUGAGAAAGGCCAAUACAGACAAAUAGAAGCAAGGAUGGAGAUGAAAUCAGUCCAUAUUUAAUUAUAUAAAAAAUAUAAUUGUUUGACUGAAAUAAUUUAUGAUAUAGCCUAAUAGAGGGAGGGAUGGAGGUGAAAUUAAUCCUUUGAAUGAAAUCUUUUAUGCCUCUCCAGAUGCUUCUCCAAUGUAGAAUUAAUGUUGUUUGAUAGUUCUUUGGCUGCCGUGGGCCAAUGUGAUGGAAUCAUUGGAUUUGUAGUUUGGUGAGGCACCAGUAUUCUUUGACAUGUAAGGCUAAAGACCUUGUAAUACUAUGAUUAACAAGAUUCCAUAACACUGAACUAUGGAAAUUAAAGAGGUUUCAAUGUGCAAUAAUUCUGCAGUGUAGAUAAAGCAUUUCCCAGCUCUCGUUUGAUUGAAUUUUCUUUUAACUUGAUUUGUGGGAUGCUGCUCUAAAUGCUUCUAAUUAUUUUUGUAUAACGGUCAGAGAUUUUUUGGACUGAAACCACUUUGACUUAAAUAAACUGAUGUUGUCUGCA